UAGGAUAGCACCAAACCAAAUUUUUGUUCCCAAAGUAGCACUCAAGGCUCAAAGUCAUAAAAAUAGGUUUCAUUAAAGAGGUAAAUAUACACUUAUACCCCUUGGAUUAAUUAAUCCAAACCUUAGGGUUUAGAGUUAAGGGGGUGGGGUUUUGGAAUUAGGGUUUAAAAUUUUAUAAAAAAUAAAUACUAAAAUAAAAAAUAA
rnacentral:lncRNA from 1 species